rnacentral:rRNA from 1 species
UUGACCUCGGAUCAGGUAGGAAUACCCGCUGAACUUAAGCAUAUCAAUAAGCGGAGGAAAAGAAACCAACAGGGAUUGCCCUAGUAACGGCGAGUGAAGCGGCAACAGCUCAAAUUUGAAAGCUGGCCCUCGGGCCCGCAUUGUAAUUUGCAGAGGAUGCUUCUGGCGACGCGCCUUCCGAGUUCCCUGGAACGGGACGCCAUAGAGGGUGAGAGCCCCGUCCGGUCGUGCGCCUAGCCUCUGUGAAGCUCCUUCGACGAGUCGAGUAGUUUGGGAAUGCUGCUCAAAAUGGGAGGUAUACGUCUUCUAAAGCUAAAUACCGGCCAGAGACCGAUAGCGCACAAGUAGAGUGAUCGAAAGAUGAAAAGCACUUUGAAAAGAGAGUUAAAAAGUACGUGAAAUUGUUGAAAGGGAAGCGCUCAUGACCAGACUUGGGCUGGCUCGAUCAUCCGGCGUUCUCGCCGGUGCACUCGGGCCGCUCAGGCCAGCAUCAGCUUCCGCCGGGGGAUAAAGGCGGUGGGAAUGUGGCUCCCUCGGGAGUGUUAUAGCCCGCCGUGCAAUACCCUGGUGGGGGCUGAGGUUCGCGCG